UACGUAGGGGGCGAGCGUUGUCCGGAUUCAUUGGGCGUAAAGAGCUCGUAGGCGGUUCAGUAAGUCGGGUGUGAAAUCUCCGUGCUCAACACGGAGCGGCCACCUGAUACUGCUGUGACUCGAGUCCGGUAGGGGAGUGUGGAAUUCCCGGUGUAGCGGUGAAAUGCGCAGAUAUCGGGAGGAAUACCAGUGGCGAAGGCGGCUUCCUGGCCUGUUCUUGACGCUGAGGCGCGAAAGCUAGGGUAGCAAACGGG
rnacentral:rRNA from 1 species